rnacentral:rRNA from 1 species
GACGAACGCUGGCGGCGUGCCUAAUACAUGCAAGUCGAACGCAGUGGGGACGGGUGAGUAACACGUGGGUAACCUCCCAUCAGAGGGGAUAACACUUGGAAACAGGUGCUAAACCGAUACUGAUGGAUGGAUCCGCGGUGCAUUAGCUAGUUGGUGAGGUAACGGCUCACCAAGGCCAGGCUGCAUAGCGGACCUUAGAGGGUGAUGGGCCACACGGGGACUGAGCCACGGCCCAGACCCCUCCGGGAGGCAGCAGUAGGGAAUCUUCGGCAAUGAACGAAGGUCUGACCGAGCAAGGCCGCGUGAGGGAAGAAGGUUUUCGGAUCGUAAAACUCUGUUGUAGGGGAAGCGGUAUCUAACCAGAAAGCCACGGCUAACUACGUGCCAGCCGCCGCGGUAAUAC